rnacentral:rRNA from 1 species
UACAGAGGGUGCAAGCGUUAAUCGGAGUUACUGGGCGUAAAGGGCGCGUAGGCGGUUGUAUAAGUUGGAUGUGAAAUCCCUGGGCUUAACCUAGGAACUGCAUUCAGAACUGUACGACUAGAGUAUUGUAGAGGGUAGUGGAAUUUCCGGUGUAGCGGUGAAAUGCGUAGAGAUCGGAAGGAACACCAGUGGCGAAGGCGGCUACCUGGACAAAUACUGACGCUGAGGCGCGAAAGCGUGGGGAGCAAACAGG